CCUACGGGGUGCAGCAGUGGGGAAUAUUGGACAAUGGGCGAAAGCCUGAUCCAGCCAUGCCGCGUGUGUGAAGAAGGCCUUCGGGUUGUAAAGCACUUUCAGUGGGGAAGAAAGCCUUGGGGCUAAUACCCUCGAGGAAGGACAUCACCCACAGAAGAAGCACCGGCUAACUCCGUGCCAGCAGCCGCGGUAAUACGGAGGGUGCGAGCGUUAAUCGGAAUUACUGGGCGUAAAGCGCGCGUAGGCGGUCUGAUAAGCCGGUUGUGAAAGCCCCGGGCUCAACCUGGGAACGGCAUCCGGUACUGUCAGGCUAGAGUGCAGGAGAGGAAGGUAGAAUUCCCGGUGUAGCGGUGAAAUGCGUAGAGAUCGGGAGGAAUACCAGUGGCGAAGGCGGCCUUCUGGACUGACACUGACGCUGAGGUGCGAAAGCGUGGGUAGCAAACAGGAUUAGAUACCCCGGUAGU
rnacentral:rRNA from 1 species